AUUGAACGCUGGCGGCAGGCCUAACACAUGCAAGUCGAGCGGAGCGGAGGACGGGUGAGUAAUGCCUAGGAAUCAGCCUGGUAGUGGGGGAUAACGUCCGGAAACGGGCGCUAAUACCGCAUACUAACAGAUGAGCAUAGGUCGGAUUAGCUAGUUGGUGGGGUAAAGGCCUCCCAAGGCGACGAUCCGUAACUGGCCUGAGAGGAUGAUCAGUCACACGGGAACUGGGACACGUCCCGAACUCCUACGGAAGGCAGCAGUGGGGAAUAUUGGACAUUGGGCGAAAGCCUGAUCCAUCCAUGCCGCGUGUGGGAAGAAGUUCUUCGGAUUGUAAAGCACUUUAAGUUGGGAGACGUUACCAACAGAAUAAGCACCGGCUAACUUCGUGCCAGCAGCCGCGGUAAUUC
rnacentral:rRNA from 1 species